rnacentral:rRNA from 1 species
CCUACGGGAGGCAGCAGUGGGGAAUCUUGCGCAAUGGGCGAAAGCCUGACGCAGCAACGCCGCGUGCGGGAAGAAGGCCUUAGGGUUGUAAACCGCUUUCAGUAGGAACGAAAAUGACGGUACCUGCAGAAGAAGGUGCGGCCAACUACGUGCCAGCAGCCGCGGUGACACGUAGGCACCAAGCGUUGUCCGGAUUUAUUGGGCGUAAAGAGCUCGUAGGCGGUUCAGUAAGUCGGGUGUGAAAACUCUGGGCUUAACCCAGAGCCGCCACUCGAUACUGCUGUGACUUGAGUUCGGUAGGGGAGCAGGGAAUUCCUAGUGUAGCGGUGAAAUGCGCAGAUAUUAGGAGGAACACCGGUGGCGAAGGCGCUGCUCUGGGCCGAUACUGACGCUGAGGAGCGAAAGCGUGGGUAGCAAACAGGAUUAGAUACCCUGGUAGUCCACGCCGUAAACGUUGGGCACUAGGUGUGGGUUCCAACCAACGGAAUCCGCGCCGUCGCUAACGCAUUAAGUGCCCCGCCUGGGGAGUACGGCGGCAACGCUAAAACUCAAAGGAAUUGACGGCUGAGACGNGCGACGACGACGACGAGGAGAG